CCGGUUAUCUCAGUCGGUAGAGCAUCAGACUUUUAAUCUGGGGUUCGGGGGUUGUAGCCCCCCCCAUCGGA
rnacentral:tRNA from 1 species